GACGAACCGUGCGAACGUUGUUCGGAAUCACUGGCUUAAAGGGCGCGUAGGCGGGCAGGCGAGUCCGGGGUGAAAUCCCACGGCCCAACCGUGGAAGUGCCUCGGAUACCGCCGGCCUCGAGGGAGGUAGGGCGUGUGGAACUUCCGGUGGAGCGGUGAAAUGCGUAGAGAGUCGGAAGGAACGCCGGUGGCGAAAGCGACACGCUGGACCUCUACUGACGCUGAGGC
rnacentral:rRNA from 1 species